GAACAAUGAGAGGAGUAAGGUUGAGAAUUGAGUAUCCCCAUAAUCGCAAUAUCUUCAACUCUAUCUGCAACUCCAUAGAUUUCUCCUUCGUCGAUCACAAAAAUGGCGACGAAACUUCAAAUAUUCACAGGAUUACCCUCCGUUCCACUUCAAUCCUCUUCCUCUUCUUCUCUCAAGAAGCCUCUAACAUCUUCCUUCUUCGGCACUAGAACAGUGGACACUUCGAAAUUUAGAGUGAUGAGGAUUGCGAAACCGUUAAGAUCAUCUCGUGGAGGAGCUAUUGGUGCCGGAAUGAACCUAUUUGAUAGGUUUGCGAGGGUCGUGAAGUCAUACGCGAAUGCUAUUGUAAGUUCUUUUGAAGAUCCGGAGAAAAUUUUGGAGCAAGCUGUGCUAGAAAUGAACGAUGAUUUGACUAAAAUGCGUCAAGCUACAGCACAAGUAUUGGCAUCACAAAAACGGAUGGAAAAUAAAUACAAGGCUGCACAACAAGCAUCUGAAGAGUGGUACCGUAAAGCACAACUUGCUCUUCAGAAAGGUGAAGAAGAUCUUGCUCGUGAAGCACUUAAGCGGCGUAAAUCUUUUGCAGAUAAUGCCAGUGCUUUGAAAGCUCAACUUGAUCAGCAAAAGGGUGUUGUGGACAAUCUUGUCUCAAAUACACGGCUUUUGGAAAGUAAAAUACAGGAGGCAAGGUCAAAGAAGGAUACUCUAAAAGCAAGAGCUCAAUCUGCAAAGACUGCCACCAAGGUGAGUGAGAUGCUGGGAAAUGUCAAUACAAGCAGUGCUCUUUCAGCUUUCGAAAAAAUGGAAGAGAAAGUGAUGACAAUGGAGUCCCAAGCUGAAGCUCUGGGUCAGUUGACAAGUGACGAUCUUGAAGGGAAGUUUGCAUUGCUUGAGAGCUCAUCAGUUGAUGACGACCUUGCGAAUUUGAAGAAAGAAUUAUCUGGUAGCUCAAAGAAAGGAGAGCUUCCUCCUGGAAGAAGUAGCACCAAUACUGGAAAGUCAUUUCGAGAUGCUGAUAUUGAGAUGGAACUUGAGCAACUAAGACAGAGAGCAAAGGAGUUUUAAAAAACCGCAGGUUAUGGUUGCCUCCUGAGUUUGGUGUGAACAUCUUCAACUUGGAGCAAAGGUUAGCAACGCGACCAUAUCUCAACCCUGCAUGGACAUGGAAAGCAGAACUUGGAGCAAGAAGGAUACACUGGUAGUGGGAGGCUAAUUCUCCGAUUGAAAAUUUCGACGUGGCUACUCUUUAAAGACACCAGGAUAUGAGUAUUCAAGUCAUUAAUUGAAAUCUUCGAUAUUAACGUGUCAAAAUGAUCUAAAAUGAAUAAGUAGGUUUAAAGCAUAUUUGGGUAUACUCGUAUAUAAAUCAAUGCGGACUCCUAGAAGCAGUUUUGUUAGUCCCAAAUGAAAUGAAACUAGUUUAGUUGA